AAGUCGUAACAAGGUCUCCGUUGGUGAACCAGCGGAGGGAUCAUUACAGAAGGUCUAGCGCCUGAAAAACCACUGUGAACCGUUCCAUUUGCUGCCUCGGCGGGCGAUCCCAGGGCGGGAUCGCGGCCCCCACGGGGGCGCCCGCCGGAGCGCGACACCUCCAGCUCUGUCGUCCAGCGGGCUUCUGAGUGACGAAAAAAACAAAUCAAAACUUUCAACAACGGAUCUCUUGGCUCUG
rnacentral:misc_RNA from 1 species